GCGACAGUCAACAAAAGGUUGUGGUCCAAAUCUCAAUGGAGAUAAUAUAAAUUUGUACUGUUGAUUGUCUCAACAAACUUGGUUGGUUCAUUAAUCCGUAUGAAGUAAUUCAUCUCAUGGAGUUCGAGACAAGGGAGGGCAAAGGGAAAAAAUCAUAGACAUGCAUGCUACUAGCAAGAGGAUAGAUGAAGACAUUAUUGAAAGUAAAAAAGUGUUGAACUUCUUAUCACAAAAAAUAGAUAGAGGGAAGAAAAGUUUAUCAACUAAGGUAGGCAAAGCAAAGAAAAGGAGAAGGUUUGUAAAAUGAUUUAAGAGGUGAAAUAUUCAAAUCAUUUAUAUCUAGGAGGAUAUGAUCCUUGUGAUCAUGAGCGUCGUGAUAGAAUGUAAAGAUUAGAUUACUUAAGGUGAGAUUUAAAAAUUUA